AACGAACGCUGGCGGCAUGCCUAACACAUGCAAGUCGAACGAGACCUUCGGGUCUAGUGGCGCACGGGUGCGUAACGCGUGGGAACCUGCCCUUAGGUUCGGAAUAACUCCCCGAAAGGGGUGCUAAUACCGGAUAAUGUCUUCGGACCAAAGAUUUAUCGCCUUUGGAUGGGUCCGCGUUGGAUUAGCUAGUUGGUAGGGUAAAAGCCUACCAAGGCGACGAUCCAUAGCUGGUCUGAGAGGAUGAUCAGCCACACUGGGACUGAGACACGGCCCAGACUCCUACGGGAGGCAGCAGUGGGAAAUAUUGGACAAUGGGCGAAAGCCUGAUCCAGCAAUGCCGCGUGAGUGAUGAAGGCCUUAGGGUUGUAAAGCUCUUUUACCCGGGAUGAUAAUGACAGUACCGGGAGAAUAAGCUCCGGCUAACUCCGUG
rnacentral:rRNA from 1 species